AACGCACGAGACCUGCGGACCUGCGGAGGGAUCAUUAAUGGGAAACUGCCCCUCGCGGGUAGAUCUCCCACCCUUUGUAAACUUACCUUUGUUGCUUUGGCAGGCCCGUCUCCGGACCGCCGGCUUCGGCUGGCCAGUGCCUGCCAGAGGAUUCUAAAACUCUGUCUGUCAGUGUUGUCUGAGUCUAUAUACAAUCGUUAAAACUUUCAACAAUGGAUCUCUAGAUCGGAAGAGCACACG
rnacentral:misc_RNA from 1 species